rnacentral:rRNA from 1 species
GAUGAACGCUAGCUACAGGCUUAACACAUGCAAGUCGAGGGGAAACGACAUCGAAAGCUUGCUUUUGAUGGGCGUCGACCGGCGCACGGGUGAGUAACGCGUAUCCAACCUGCCCAUCACUUGGGAAUAACCUUGCGAAAGUAAGACUAAUACCCAAUGAUAUCCCACGAAGGCAUCGGAAUGGGAUUAAAGAUUUAUCGGUGAUGGAUGGGGAUGCGUCUGAUUAGCUUGUUGGCGGGGUAACGGCCCACCAAGGCAACGAUCAGUAGGGGUUCUGAGAGGAAGGUCCCCCACAUUGGAACUGAGACACGGUCCAAACUCCUACGGGAGGCAGCAGUGAGGAAUAUGGGUCAAGGGGCGAGAGCCUGAACCAGCCAAGUAGCGUGCAGGAAGACGGCCCUAUGGGUUGUAAACUGCUUUUAUAAGGGAAUAAAGUGGGUCACGUGUGACUUUUUGCAUGUACCUUAUGAAUAAGGACCGGCUAAUUCCGUG